UACACUCCUGCGGGAGGCAGCAGUGGGGAAUAUUGGACAAUGGGCGCAAGCCUGAUCCAGCCAUGCCGCGUGAGUGAUGAAGGCCCUAGGGUUGUAAAGCUCUUUCACCGGUGAAGAUAAUGACGGUAACCGGAGAAGAAGCCCCGGCUAACUUCGUGCCAGCAGCCGCGGUAAUACGAAGGGGGCUAGCGUUGUUCGGAUUUACUGGGCGUAAAGCGCACGUAGGCGGACUAUUAAGUCAGGGGUGAAAUCCCGGGGCUCAACCCCGGAACUGCCUUUGAUACUGGUAGUCUUGAGUUCGAGAGAGGUGAGUGGAAUUCCGGGUGUAGUGGUGAAAUUCGUAGAUAUUCGGAGGAACACCAGUGGCGAAGGCGGCUCACUGGCUCGAUACUGACGCUGAGGUGCGAAAGCGUGGGGAGCAAACAGGAUUAGAAACCCCUGUAGUCCCA
rnacentral:rRNA from 1 species